CCCAGUCUCGAGGAUUGAAGAAUCUCCUACCAGGGACAGUAUCACUCCUCGGUCUUCACGGACUAAAAGAACGAAACUGGUUUUUUAAAAGUGUUUGGGACGUCCACCCCGAGGUAUACCGUGGGGGUGAUUUCAAAGCGCUGGCACCUCGGUUGCCCGAAUCCGUGGUGUGGCGAAUCUCGGUGUUCCCAUGGUUUAACUAGCCUGUUUGAAGGCACAGAUCAUUCUUCUGGGAAGUACAAAGGAAACCGUCAUCAACCCCCUUCGGGCGGGCGUGGCUUCCACAUCCUGGUCCACAGUUGCCUGGUACUCCAGAAAGACAGACUUCAGAGUGCUAAGCAGCCACCCUUCCACCCGCUGCCAUUGAAUGGAUUCUGACCAUAGCAACCUAUGGGGUUUCAAGGGCUAUAAACCUUUACGGAAGCAGAUAGCCUCAUCGUUCUCCCCUGGAGCUGCUUGUGGGUUCGAACAGCUGAUCCUGCAGGUAGCAGUGGGUCACUGACCCUACAGCACUCUCAGGGCUCCUUAGCAACUACCAUCUAACUCAACCAUUGUAACCUUGGACGACUCUGCCAGAGAAAUAAAAGUCCCCCAGCACAGUCGCAGAGCUCACGACAAACACCCGACGACGCUGAGGAGUGAUUCAGUCAUUGGAGAGAGCAUGCAGUCAUCGUAAACGGGUUAAAUUGCGAGAAUUUCAAGACGUAUUUUGGGGAAGGAUUAAAUAAAUCAAGGGACUUGCUGAAAGCAAAUAGUAUGUUUGCGUGGCUGAUUUGAA